AUGACUAAGGAGGCCAGUGUUGACUUAUGCCAGCCAUUUAAGCCAGAGAACAGUGAACAGUUGAGACAAGAGUUCCUCCAGUAUUUUGGAGAAGGAACGAAAGUAACAGUUCUAGAGAAGAACAAUGAAAUCAUUCCACCAGCUGUGGCCAUCUUUUCACCAUCAAAGCAAGAGAUUCAACAGAAGAACAAGGCCACACUGGUGUGCCUGGCCUCUGGUUUCUACCCUGAUCACCUCAAUCUAGUCUGGAAGGUGAAUGGUGUGAAGAGGACAGAAGGAGUGGGAACAGAUGAGAUUUCCACACCAAAUGGAAGCACUUACUCAUUGACGAGCAGACUGAGAAUCUCAGCCGAAGAGUGGUUCAACCCUUUGAAUCGUUUUGAAUGUAUUGCUGAAUUUUUUAAGAAUGCAACACUGGAAUCAAUACACAAAUUCAUCUAUGGUGACACUGGCUGUGAUAUCUUCAGUGAAAACUAUCAGAGAAGUGCUACAGCUGGGAAGUUUGUAUACAUAAUGCUCAUUUUCAAGAGCGUUUUGUAUGGGAUAUUUUUGAUGGGGAUGAUGCUUUGGUACAAGAAAAUGUACUAGAUAUGCUUUGCCCUGAAGAGGAAGACAGAUAUGAUGCAAGUGGAAAGCCUCUUGGAACUUGGAAAUCUUGGAACACAAGUCCUGAUUUGCUUCAGGAACCAGUAAACCAGCUACACUGCAAUCUCCAACUAUUUUGGCUUGCUUUCAAAAUUACCUUUUGAUAAAAGUCUAUCCAUAGAAA